AUGAAACACUCCUACGGGAGGCAGCAGUGGGGAUUUUUGGACAAUGGGGGCAACCCUGAUCCAGCAAUGCCGCGUGAGUGAAGAAGGCCUUCGGAUCGUAAAACUCUGUUAUUAGGGAAGAACAAAUGUGUAAGUAACUAUGCACGUCUUGGCGGUACCUAAUCAGAAAGCCACGGCUCACUACGUGCCAGCAGCCGCGGUAAUACGUAGGUGGCAAGCGUUAUCCGGAAUUAUUGGGCGUAAAGCGCGCGUAGGCGGUUUUUUAAGUCUGAUGUGAAAGCCCACGGCUCAACCGUGGAGGGUCAUUGGAAACUGGAAAACUUGAGUGCAGAAGAGGAAAGUGGAAUUCCAUGUGUAGCGGUGAAAUGCGCAGAGAUAUGGAGGAACACCAGUGGCGAAGGCGACUUUCUGGUCUGUAACUGACGCUGAUGUGCGAAAGCGUGGGGAUCAAACAGGAUUAGAAACCCUUGUAGUCCGAAGUUC
rnacentral:rRNA from 1 species